ACCCAGCUGACGAGUCCAAAAUAGGACGAAACGCGUGUCCUGGAU
rnacentral:hammerhead_ribozyme from 1 species